CUGAAACGCCAACUGCAGAGUCAGGUGAAGUAGUGGCCAGUAUGCCUGCUAUAUUUAGAGCGUACAGAACGUCCAUUACAUAAUGGUCAUCCAGCCUGACCCUGAUUCUGUCUGGCCCAUGGACUUUACUAGCAGGAAUCUACUCACGGCCAAUCUCUCACAGAGGACUGGCAGACCAGCUAAUGUAAAGACAGGGGGGCUGGGACCUAGAAGAGUAAGUAAACCUAGCAGAAGCCUGCGGGGCCGCGGCGGUCCCCUGGUACGCCACAACUGCUGGCACACGGCCUGCCUGCUCAGAGUGGAAACAGUCAGAGGAGCCAGCACAAAGGCGCUGUUACCAACUGCAGGGCAGGAGGAAGCAGGAAACACGACGCUCCGCAUUGAGCCACCGCAUCAACAACAGUGACACUAAACACAAACACAGCCCGUCUCACGAUCGCAGCCUGAAAACUCCGCAGGUGACGGCAGGUACCU